AAACCAGACUGCAAUGAGCUGUGAGGACCUGAAGACCAGAGUACAUUGUCCCUGUCCUGGGGAUCAGAGUACAUUGUCCCUGUCCUGGGGCCUGGGUAUGCUUUACAGCGUGCUGGGAACAGGAUGCUCGGCUUAUUACUCCCUUAUCUCCCGGCCAGGACUGCAUUAAUCAUCUUAGACCUCACUGGGCAUCAGCUCACUCUGGUUUCUGCCGCUGCAGGAGCUGCACGCAGAGGCAUGGGUGCUGGGGCGUGGACGCUCAGCCAUCUCUGCACUCCAGUCUCCGGCAUACCACACCCCGACUCUGUCCUGCACCCAGAGUGGAAGCCUGCUGGAGUCCUGCGUGCUGCGCCAGCUUUGACUUUCAGCUGGAGGAGGAUGCAGUGUGGCGGCCGCCCCAGACUGGCCACGGUCUCUGAUGGGAAAGGUGACCCUGAGGUGUCCCUGUCACCAAGUCUUUCUCCAAGCUGAGUUGGCGGCUGGAUUAAUGGAAGAAGACCCCAGUGAUGUGCCCAUGGAUCUGUCUUCAGUUCCCUCUCAGAAGACACAUUUUCUUUAGUGGCUUGCACAUAGACAUAGACUCAAUUUAAAAAAGAUUUAUUUAUUUUUCAUUUAUGUGUAUGGGUGUUUUGCCUUCAUGGAUAUCUGUGAACCAUGUGUGCAGUUCCCACAGAGGCCAGGAGAGGGCAGCAGAUCCCCUGGAACUGGAGUUGCAGACGGUUCUGAGUUACCAUGUGGCGCUGGGAAGGAGUCUGCAUCCUCUGGGAGAGUGGCCACAAUGCUCUGAACCUCUGCCCAGCCCCAGAUGUGAACCUGGUCACACCAACCCCAGCACCGUCCCUUAGAGUCAGAUCUCCGUGCUCCCACUUUAAACAGUCGUCUGUGCUUCCAAAUCCCUCCUGUAGGGGGAGCUACAGAGAGAACCUGAUGCCUGCAUCACGGAGAGAAGGGAACCUCAACUGAGAAAAUGCCCGUGUAAAAUCUUCCCCCUGUUGGGGGGCGCGGGUGGGGGAGAUUUGCCCUUCCACAAAUUUGCUCAAGCAUUGGGUCCCAGGCACACAGAUGAGGGAGCAGACGCAGGGGCCUAAGGACUUGUGACCUUGGGGGUAAGGCUGAAUUUCAUCGUCUCUGGGGAAGAUACUGAGAACUAGUAGAGAAGACAUCACAGGGACUCUGGUCCCAGUGCAGCUGCUUAGUGGCUUUGCAACUUGGCCCGGGGUUGACAGCCCAUGGUCCUUAGACUAGCCAUGGUCCCAUGUCUGUUUUUGUAAAUAAAGUUUUAUUGACACAC